rnacentral:rRNA from 1 species
UACGUAGGUGGCGAGCGUUGUCCGGAUUUACUGGGCGUAAAGGGCGUGCAGGCGGUUUGUUAAGUGCAGGGUGAAAGCUCCCGGCUCAACUGGGAGAGGUCCUUGCAUACUGGCGAACUCGAGGGAGGCAGAGGAAAGUGGAAUUCCCGGUGUAGUGGUGAUAUGCGUAGAUAUCGGGAGGAACACCAGUGGCGAAGGCGGUUGCCUGGAGCUUUGCUGACGCUGAUGCGCGAAAGCGUGGGGAGCGAUCCGG